rnacentral:rRNA from 1 species
GACGAACGCUAGCGGCGUGCUUAACACAUGCAAGUCGAACGAUGAAGCUAGAGCUUGCUCUGGUGAAUUAGUGGCGAACGGGUGAGUAACACGUGAGUAACCUGCCCCGAACUCUGGGAUAACUGCUGGAAACGGUAGCUAAUACUGGAUACGACCUACGAAGGCAUCUUCUGUAGGUGGAAAGAAUUUCGGUUCGGGAUGGACUCGCGGCCUAUCAGCUUGUUGGUGAGGUAAUGGCUCACCAAGGCGACGACGGGUAGCCGGCCUGAGAGGGUGACCGGCCACACUGGGACUGAGGCACGGCCCAGACUCCUACGGGAGGCAGCAGUGGGGAAUAUUGCACAAUGGGCGCAAGCCUGAUGCAGCAACGCCGCGUGAGGGAUGACGGCCUUCGGGUUGUAAACCUCUUUUAGUAGGGAAGAAGCGAAAGUGACGGUACCUGCAGAAAAAGCACCGGCUAACUACGUGCCAGCAGCCGCCGUAA